UACUAAGUUGCCCAGCCUGGGCUCAAAUUUGCAAUCUCCCUGCCUCAGCCUCCCAGAGGGCUGGAUUUACAGGUGUGUGCCAUGCCGGGCUUCAGUAGGAUAAUCUUGACAGUGCCAUGCUGAGGAAGCCUUGUGACUCCAGGGAGAAACAAUGAUUUUUCUGCUUCUUCCAUGUGCACUGUGCCACAGAAAAAUCCCUUCUUCACCCAUUCAGCAAACUAGCAUCUCAGGGGCAGCUGUCAGGGAUGUGUUUGGGGUUACCGUUUGGGGGUUCCUAUUACCUCAGUCUUUAUCUUUCUCCUCUUGCUGCCCCACCCCAUGUAUUUCCUUUGAGUCUCUCCUUUGUCUCCUGAUCUGAGAUUGGUUGCCAGCCCUGGAGGAUCUCCUGUGGUCCCUGUCCCCAGUCCUGCCCUCCCCAGCAGCAGCCAGAAGCAGCGAUGCCCCCACACCCAGCCGGACCAGGAAGACCCAGGGCUGUGGCAGUUUCCUGGUGGAAGUGUGCUCCCUCCCUGGGAACCGGAGCCAGCCUGGGCCUCUCCCACCUCUUCAGAGCUGGUGACGCUCUCUUCCUCCUCAGUGCCCUCGCCUCCCCAGGGCCUUCCUGAAAGAGGUCCCACCCUGCCAAGUGCCUGUGGGGGUCGAGGAAACUUUCCGGCCAGGCCAGCCUGCUUGGAGGAACACAGAGCUGUGGAUCUUAGCUUAGGAGAUGUCAAUGUCACCCCGGGACUCGUAUUUUUAGAUAAGAAUAUGAUAGACGGAGUCGAUUUCUUCAGGAAGGAGCUUGUCCCGGGGCGCUGCUGAGCGAACUCCCUCCUGGCCUCCUCUGCUCCCUUCCCCUGACUGGCGGCAGGGAAACCCCAGCGUCUCAGCCAAGGUGCCCCAGGGAAGUCAGAGGCCACCUGAAGUGGAAAGCAGCCUUUCCUGGGUCACCCAAGCACUGUUUGCUGCCAGGGAUUGAACUCGGGUCCUCGCGCUUGCGAGGCAGGCAGCGGAACCACUGAGCUAAAUCCCCGGCCCCUGUAGUAGUUUUUGGUUCAAGCAUGCAUGCUAUAAAAAUUUACACCAUACAAAAAUAAGAGCCCCCUUUCCUGAAUACCACACCCCAAAACCAACCCUCCUCUUACGGGCAGCCGCUGUUAACGCUGUUCCCUGAGAUGCGUGUGUCUUGGGGCCCUUUCUCUGCACAUCCGUGCGGGUCACACGUGGUCGGCCACACGGUGGCUUCUGGUUUCUCAGCACGGCCUCGUGAACCUUCGGGGGAACCCGCAGCGGCCUGCGCUCUCAGCAGUGCUGUGGAUCGAACCCAGGGCCUCAUGCAAACUAAGCACAGGCUCUACCACUGAGCAACACCCACAGCCUUACCCUGGAUUCUUAUGGGCCUCAGGGCUUGGUUUAUUUUCAAGGGCCAUCCCUUUAAGCAGCACCCAGAGAAAAGACCAAGGUGCCCAGAAUCCCAUUUCUGAGAAUGUUACCAACAGCUGCCUUUGAAAUCUGCCAACUUCCUGGCCUUGCUGGUCCCAAGGAGGAGAGCCAUGGAAUGAAGAAGCAGCAAGAAGGAUGUCACCAGAAUCACCUUGAUCCUGGGCUUGCUCACUGCCAGAACUGUAAGAAAUAAAUCUGCUUUGUAUGAAUUUCCCAGUGUAUGUUCUGUUACCACAGCUCAAAUAACCCAAAAUAAGAUACAUUUGCCAUAGCUCUUUCCAUCCUCUAGCUAACGGUCCAGGCCCUCCCAUGGACCUUAGUGGACUGGCAGAGGUGGGUAAGGUUCUGGAACCAUCUGGAGAGCUUUUAAAAAUCCAUUUGCAGGGGGAAUGUAGCUUAGUGGUAGAGGGCUUACCUAGCAUGUGCAAGGCCCUGGGUUCCACCCGGGGCCUCCGAGGUGGAAGAGUCCUUAUUGACUGGCCAAGCAGGGUCUUGGGCCUCACUAAUAGGCUCUGGGCUUUGCCAGACCUGAGUUUUUGGUUUUUUGCAGUACUGGCGAUUGAACCCAGGGCCUAGUCGCUGACCUACAUUCCCAGUGUCAACAGAAAACCAGGUCUGGACGGCUUCAAUUUCCUCAGCCCUUAGUUUCCUGCAUUCAGUCAAGACACAGGGUUAGUAGGCAUGCAAGAGCAGAGCUGGAGUUUACUAUGACGCAGAUCUAGGGAGAGUUACACCUCAGUGGAGAAGGGAGCAGUACCAGAUAGGCAUCUGCACUGAGAGUGCGUUCGGGUCUCUUCUUGUGCUUGCAGGAGUUACUUCCCGGGUUCAGGGAACUGUGGGAUUAUGAUGCUUAUUGACUAGUUUUCUUAGAGGUUGCUGUGGAAUUGCCAAAUAUCUUCCUAGUUCUUUUCAGAUGGUCAGCGUUCCCACAGGGGCCUUAGACAUGUAAGAAACUUGUGAAAGAAGCUUAUGAAAGAGAAAUUCUAAUCUAAAUCAGCUCUUAGCCCAAGGCCGAAGGGUCCUGCUUAAAGAAGUUUCUGUUUGUGGUAUCAUUGGUCUGUAGGCUAUGGCAACAAGGAAUGCUGUAUGCCUUGUUCUAGAAAUCAAGGCCCUGUGUUUGGGGUCUGAGACCUAAUAAAUGGU